UACGCCCUAGGCAUCGCAAUCAAUACAAUUCGCGAGGUUCCAACCUGGAACAGUUUUCAAGCAUAGAUUGUAUAAGGAAGUAUCAAAAACAUAAAAUAACUAAGCUAUUACAAGCAUUCACAUCACAUGCUUUUUACAAUUUAUAUUUUUAUUUUCUUUUCUUCCAAAUACAAUCAAGAUUAUUACAAUAUUGCUUUUCUUCUUUUCUACACCCCUA
rnacentral:lncRNA from 1 species